UCCACAUACUUUUGGCCAUGUAGUGCAUGUGUGGUUUUUUGAGGGGGACAUAAGACUCCUAAAAUCACCAGAAAAUCAGCUCAUAUCAUUUUUAAAUUGAGGAAAUCUGUUUCCAUGCAUAAGUAGAGGCAAACAGAGCCUUCAGAAUGUAUUCUUACCUCUUGAUUUAUUCCACAUUGUCGUUACAGCCUGAAUUCAAAAUGGAUUACAAAAAAAAUCUCACCUAUCAACACACAAUACCCCAUACUGACAAAGUGAAAACAAAAUGUGUAAAUAUAUUAAAUAAAAUGCUGAAAAUAUCUAAUACAAGUAAGUAAUAUAGUACCCCCAAUACAUGUUAGAAUUACCUUUCACAGCGUUUCCAGCUGUGAGUCUUUCUGGGUAAGUCUCUGAGAGCUGUGAGUCUUUCUGGGUAAGUCUCUGAGAGCUGUGAGUCUUUCUGGGUAAGUCUCUGAGAGCUGUGAGUCUUUCUGGGUAAGUCUCUGAGAGCUUUCCACACCUGGAUUGUACAUCAUUGGCCCAUUUAUUAUUUUCAAAAUUCUUCAAGCUUUGUCAAGUUGAUGGUUAAUCAUUGUCAGACAGCCAUUUUCAAGUCUUGCCAUAGAUUUCCAAGCCUAUUUUAAGUCAAAACUGUAACUAGGCCACUUAGGAACAUUCAAUGUCAUCUUGGUAAGCAACUCCAGUGUAUAUUUGUCCUUGUGCUUUAGGUUAUUGUCCUGCUGAAAGGUGAAUUUGUAUCCCAGUGUCAAAUCAAAUUGUAUUUUUCCACCUGCGCCGAAUACAACAGGUGUAGACUUUACUGUGAAAUGCUUGCUUAGAAACCCUUCCCAACAAAGCAGAGUUUAAAAAUAAUCAAUAAUCAAUCAAUCAUACAAUUUAAAUAGUAACACGGAAUAAAAAUAAAGUACACAAGAAUGAAGCUACAAGAUCAAUGUUAAGACAUACGAUAUGAGGUAGAUAUGUACAUGAAGGUAAAGUGACUAGGCAUCAGGACAGAUGAUAAUAAGGUAUUUGAGGUAGAUAUGUACAUGAAGGCAGGGUAAAGUGACUAGACAUCAGGAUAGAUAAUAAUAAGGUAUUUGAGGUAGAUAUGUACAUGAAGGCAGGGUAAAGUGACUAGACAUCAGGAUAGAUAAUAAUAAGGUAUUUGAGGUAGAUAUGUACAUGAAGGCAGGGUAAAGUGACUAGACAUCAGGAUAGAUAAUAAUAAGGUAUUUGAGGUAGAUAUGUACAUGAAGGCAGGGUAAAAUGACUAGACAUCAGGAUAGAUAAUAAUCAGAGUAAAAUAAAGAACAGAGUAGCAGCAGCUAAGGGUGUGUGUGCA
ensembl:lncRNA